GACGAACGCUGGCGGCGUGCCUAAUACAUGUAAGUCGAACGCUGAAGGAGUAGCUUGCUUAUCUGGAUGAGUUGGGAAGGGGUGAGUAAGGGGUAGGUAAAGUGAUUUGUAGUGUGGGAUAACUAUUGGAAACGAUAGCUAAUACCGCAUAAUAGUAGAUGUUGCAUGACAUUUGCUUAAAAGUUGCAAUUGCAUCACUACCAGAUGGACCUGCGUUGUAUUAGCUAGUUGGUGGGGUAACGGCUCACCAAGGCGACGAGACAUAGCCGACCUGAGAGGGUGAUCGGCCACACUGGGACUGAGACACGGCCCAGACUCCUACGGGAGGCAGCAGUAGGGAAUCUUCGGCAAUGGACGGAAGUCUGACCGAGCAAAGACGCGUGAGUGAAGAAGGGUUUCGGAUCGUAAAGCUCUGUUGUAAUAGAAAAAAGAGUGUGAGAGUGGAAAGUUCACACUGUGACGGUAUCUUACCAGAAAGGGACGGCUAACUACGUG
rnacentral:rRNA from 1 species